CUUGAUCGAGCCGAGCCAGAGCGGGCGGUCGGCGGGGCGGUCCUGGCCGUAGGUGGCGAGGAGCGCCUGCGCCUC
rnacentral:antisense_RNA from 1 species